rnacentral:rRNA from 1 species
UACAGAGGGGGCCAGCGUUAUUCGGAAUUAUUGGGCGUAAAGGGCGCGUAGGCGGCCUGCUAAGUCGAACGUGAAAUCCCCGGGCUCAACCCGGGAACUGCGUCCGAUACUGGCAGGCUUGAAUCCGGGAGAGGGAUGUGGAAUUCCAGGUGUAGCGGUGAAAUGCGUAGAUAUCUGGAGGAACACCGGUGGCGAAGGCGGCAUCCUGGACCGGUAUUGACGCUGAUGCGCGAAAGCCAGGGGAGCAAACGGG